AUUUGAUAUAGAUCAACUUUUCGAGUGCAUGGGAAAGCUAAAAAAGUGGACAGAAUCACAUGUGAUGCUCUGAAAAUUUUAGGAAGUUCGUUGGAUCAGCCAGAAGAGUUAUCAUUGAGUUGACAUGCGCAGAGGAGGAAGAGGGCAAGUCGCCACGCGCAAGCAGUUCCUCAUCGGUUAUGCAGACAGGACCAACUACUGUUGCAUCAGGGUUUGCCUAUGCAAAAUUUGGGAAGACAAAGGUCAUUGUAUCUGUGUAAGUGCAGCAUCCUUUGGUAUUACCGUUUCAUAGUAUGUUUUACAUUUUUGGAUAAGCAGUUAUUAUAUCUGAUAAUUUUGAUGUACGUUUGGAGCACAAAAGGAAAAUAGUAAGUAUAGAAAUGACUCUAUGUCAAUUCUUAUUACCAAAUUUGUACAUGUCGUUAUGUUUCUGCCGUGUUGAUAGAUAAAAAGAACAAAAAUAGAGAGGUUACAGUGAAUGAGUUCCUGCCAGCGAAAAAAUGCCAUCAACACGAUCAAGUACUCGAUAGGGUGUUUUCUCCCACAUACAGUGCCAUAUAUGUUACUAACUCUAUACUAGCUUUGCUUUGAUAGUAUUCUAUGUAGAGCAAUAAUUUGUGUUAUCAGAACAGAGCUCACUAAAGUCGUUUGGAUGUUAUACUGCAAGGAUUUGUGUGGCUCACACCUUAUUGAAAGCAUCAGGAAGUGAUCUCUAGGACUCUAGCUGCUUAAUUGUGGAUGCUACACCAUUUUCUCAACACUUUAUCCAGAGUACUGUAGUACAACCCAUUCUUCCUUGUAUUUUCUCCUUUCCAUACAUUCCACUCUAUUUUAUCUCUAAUAUUUGCGGUUCCUAAUUAGUUUUGUCUGCAAUAGUUGGAUUCUUGUUUGACCCAGGUUUCAGUACUUUUUGAUAUUAACCCUUGAUGUUGUUUGCUUUGAUGUUAACGUAUUGAUGAAUUUUAUAU